UACGGGGAAUGAGGGUUUGAUUCCGGAGAGGGAGCCUGAGAGAUGGCUACCAGGACCAAGGUCAGCAGCAGGCGCGAAAAUUAUCGAAGCCCGCCUAGGGGCGAUAGUGAGGAGACGUGUAUUCGAAGUACGUGUAAAGAACGUACUAAUAACUGGAGGUCAAGUCUGGUGCCAGCAUCCGCGGUAAUUCCAGCUCCAGGGGUGUCUAUGAUGAUUGCUGCGAUUAAAAAGUCCGUAGUCAAGCUGACUGACUGACCUGCAAUGUGAUUGAUUAAAGAACGAGCAGGGUUAGGAAAGCAGAGAAUUAGGAGCGACCGAGGGCUAGAGUAUUGAAUGGCGAGAGGUGAAAUAUGAUGACCCAUUCAGGAGUGACAAAGGCGAAGGCACUAGUCAAGGGCGAAUCCGAUGAUCAAGGACGUAGGCUAGAGUUUCGAAAACGAUUAGAAACCGGAGUAGUUCUAGCAGUAAACUAUGCCGACGCCGUGAUAUUGUUUUUUGUGGCGGUAUUGCGGAAGAGAAAUCAAGUAGGGCUUUGGGGAGAGUACGCGCGCAAGCGAUAAAUUUAAAGGAAAUUGACGGAGGAACACCACAAGGAGUGGAGUGUGCGGCUUAAUUUGACUCAACGCGGGACAGCUUACCAGGCCCGAUAAUCGAGCGAGCGUAGUACGCGAUAGAUUAAAGAGUGGUGCAUGGCUGCUAUCGACAGUUGGGGUGACCUUAGGGUUAAUUCCGGCAAGUAGUGAGACCCCUGCAGAUAGUGGACAGGUAUUUUUUAAAAUACAGGAAGGAAGGGACAAGAGCAGGUCAGUGAUGCCCUUAGAUGGCCUGGGCUGCACGCGCACUACAGUGGUCAUUAUAAGUAGAAGUUAGAUAUAAAGAUGAUCGAGAGGGACUGAGCUUUGUAAGAGGCUCACGAACGAGGAAUUGCUAGUAAUCGUAGGCUCAUUAAGAUACGAUGAAUAUGU
rnacentral:rRNA from 1 species